rnacentral:rRNA from 1 species
GUGAAAUUGUUGAAAGGGAAGCGCUUGCAACCAGACCUGCCUGCAGUUGCUCAUCCGGGCUUUUGCCCGGUGCACUCUUCUGCUGUCAGGCCAGCAUCGGUUCGGGCGGUCGGAUAAAGGCUUCGGGAAUGUAGCUCCUCUCGAGGAGUGUUAUAGCCCGUUGCGAAAUGCGGCCAGCCUGAACUGAGGUCCGCGCUUCGGCUAGGAUGCUGGCGUAAUGGUUGUAAGCGGCCCGUCUUGAAACACGGACCAAGGAGUCUAACAUCUGUGCGAGUGUUUGGGUGUCAAACCCGUACGCGUAAUGAAAGUGAACGGAGGCGGGAACCCCUCGGGGUGCACCGUCGACCGAUCCUGAUGUCUUCGGAUGGAUUUGAGUAAGAGCAUAGCUGUUGGGACCCGAAAGAUGGUGAACUAUGCCUGAAUAGGGUGAAGCCAGAGGAAACUCUGGUGGAGGCUCGCAGCGGUUCUGACGUGCAAAUCGAUCGUCAAAUUUGGGCAUAGGGGCGAAAGACUAAUCGAACUAUCUAGUAGCUGGUUCCUGCCGAAGUUUCCCUCAGGAUAGCAGUAACGUUUUCAGUUUUAUGAGGUAAAGCGAAUGAUUAGAGGCCUGGGGGUUGAAACAACCUUCACCUAUUCUCAAACUUUAAAUAUGUAAGAAGUCCUUGUUGCUUAGUUGAACGUGGACAUUUGAAUGUAUCGUUACUAGUGGGCCAUUUUUGGUAAGCAGA